rnacentral:sRNA from 1 species
GAUGCAAUUCUGCUGUUUCGUCAGUCAUGAAAGGUCCCCUUCGGCUCAGUAAUGGCGAGAGAGAAUAGGACGU